GACGAACGCUGGCGGCGUGCUUAACACAUGCAAGUCGAACGGAAAGGCCCUGCUUUUGUGGGGUGCUCGAGUGGCGAACGGGUGAGUAACACGUGAGUAACCUGCCCUUGACUUUGGGAUAACUUCAGGAAACUGGGGCUAAUACCGGAUAGGAGCUCCUGCUGCAUGGUGGGGGUUGGAAAGUUUCGGCGGUUGGGGAUGGACUCGCGGCUUAUCAGCUUGUUGGUGGGGUAGUGGCUUACCAAGGCUUUGACGGGUAGCCGGCCUGAGAGGGUGACCGGCCACAUUGGGACUGGGGUACCGCCCAGACUCCUACGGGGAGGAAGAGUGGGGAAUAUUGCACAAUGGGCGGAAGCCUGAUGCAGCAACGCCGCGUGCGGGAUGACGGCCUUCGGGUUGUAAACCGCUUUCGCCUGUGACGAAGCGUGAGUGACGGUAAUGGGUAAAGAAGCACCGGCUAACUACGUG
rnacentral:rRNA from 1 species